rnacentral:rRNA from 1 species
UACGGAGGGUGCGAGCGUUGUCCAGAAUCACUGGGCGUAAAGGGCGCGUAGGCGGCGCGGAUAGUCGGCGGUGGAAGCCCGGAGCUCAACUCCGGGUCGGCCGUCGAUACUUCCGGGCUUGAGCACUGUAGAGGCAGAUGGAAUUCCGGGUGUAGCGGUGGAAUGCGUAGAGAUCCGGAAGAACACCGGUGGCGAAGGCGGUCUGCUGGGCAGUUGCUGACGCUGAUGCGCGACAGCGUGGGGAGCAAACAGG